rnacentral:snoRNA from 1 species
AUAUCCAUGAUGACUCCACAUGUGCAUUCCUUGGAAAGCUGAACAUAGUGAAUGAGGAAUCCUUUACUAUUGUCCUCAUGGAAGCUGAGGUCU